UCCCUGGAGGACCAGUGGUUAGGCCACAGCGCUCUCACUGCUGCAGCCCGGGUUCGAUUUCCAGCCAGGGAA
rnacentral:tRNA from 1 species